CACACCCGCACACACACACAGAGAGCGCAGAGGAAGAAUCAGAAGCACGUCUCUGCUUCGCUGCCAUAAAACACGAUCAGAUCCUCAGUUUCUAGCCGAUACUACAUAAAAAAUAACGUAAACUAACGCAGUAACGCAUCAUGUAGUAACGGUAACUGAGUUACUUAAUAUAAAAAAAUAACGCGUUCGAUUACUAGUUACCGCCGAAACUAACGGCGUUACAGUAACGCGUUACUUUGUAACGCGUUAGUCCCAACACUGGUUAUGACACUUGAUUGCAUCACCACUUUGAAACUUGCUCAGUCCCAAUGAAGAGCAAAACUAUUGUUGUGUUCCAGACAUGUCACGUAUUAUUGUUCUGUGGCCAAAUACUCAUCUCCACAAAUAUCACACUUUCCUUUCAAGGAAUCAAGAGCAAGAUCUUCAGUGAGGUCCUGGAAUUUGAUGCCAGCAACACGUGACAAAGAAGUUUGGAAAGGUGGCAAUAAAUACUGAUAAAGUUGAGGAAUGCUCAUCAAACACUUAUUUGGAACAUCCCACAGGUGUGCAGGCUAAUUGGGAACAGAGACCAACUUGCUUGCUCAGAAUCGCUGAAAUGAUGCGACUCAAGGAUUUAUUUCAGCUAACAGUUUAACUGCAGGGCAGCAAAGUCAAGUUCAGUGCAAGAGAAGGAGAAGCGGCUCAGUGUAACCCGAUGAGGCCGCCGAUGCGCCUCAGCAGUCUGGCAGGGGAUGGAGGGGUCCCUAGUGGACCUGAUCGACAACACCCGACUGAAGGAGAGUCUCAGGACUACGGCAGGUUGCAUUCAAAGACACAUUCUGAGACAGGACUCGUGGAUAUAAAUAUCAGAACGUUUCUGAAGCACCUGAAAAGGAUCAAGCCAAAUAAAUCUCAUUUCUUUCAGUCUGUUGCAACACAUGUUCAAUGGUCCACUUUUAGGCGGUUGUCAAGAAGUGUUGUACCUCUGCAAAGGUGUC